rnacentral:tRNA from 1 species
GGGAAUAUAGCUCAGUGGUAGAGCACUUGCCCCACAUACAUGAGGUCCUGGGUUCAAUCCCUAGGACCACCA